UCGCUCCUACCGAUUGAGUGAUCCGGUGAAUUAUUCGGACCGUUUCAUUUGGCGGUUCCCGUCAUUUGAAAUGGGAAGUCUUGUGAACCUUAUCACUUAGAGGAAGGAG
rnacentral:rRNA from 1 species